rnacentral:ncRNA from 2 species
GGUCAGAACCGGGGGCGCCCAGAUGGGCUGAGACGUACCCUUUGAACCUGAACCAGAUAAUGCUGGCGGAGGGAAGGUAUCAGCGCAAGGUC